GAUGAACGCUGGCGGCGUGCCUAAUACAUGCAAGUCGAGCGAACGGACGCGAAGCUUGCGUCUCUGAUGUUAGCGGCGGACGGGUGAGUAACACGUGGAUAACCUACCUAUAAGACUUGGAUAACUUCGGGAAACCGGAGCUAAUACCGGAUAAUAUUUUGAACCGCAGGGUUCAAAAGUGAAAGACGGUCUUGCUGUCACUUCUCGAUGGAUCCGCGCUGCAUUAGCUAGUUGGUAAGGUAACGGCUUACCAAGGCAACGAUGCAUAGCCGACCUGAGAGGGUGAUCGGCGACACUGGAACUGAGACACGGACAAUACGCCUAAGGGAGGGAGCAGUAGGGAAUCUUCCGCAAUGGGCGAAAGCCUGACGGAGCAACGGCGCGUGAGUGAUGACGGCCUUCGGAGCGUAAAACUCUGUUACUAGGGAAGAACAUAUGUCUAAGUAACUGUACACAUCUUGACGGUACCUAAUCAGAAAGCCACGGCUAACUACGUG
rnacentral:rRNA from 1 species